rnacentral:tRNA from 1 species
GUCAGGAUGGCCGAGCGGUCUAAGGCGCUGCGUUCAGAUCGCAGUCCGGUCUUCCGGGCGUGGGUUCGAAUCCCACUUCUGACA